UCGCCUGUUUAUCAAAAACAUUGCCUUAAGAAAAAUAUUUAAGGUACAUCCUGCCCAGUGAUUUAUUCAACGGCCGCGGUACCCUAACCGUGCAAAGGUAGCACAAUCACUUGCCCUUUAAUUGGGGGCUGGAAUGAAUGGAUAAAUGAGAACUAAACUGUCUCUUUUCAAUAAAUAAAAAUUAAUUUUAAGGUGAAGAAGCCUUAAUUUAUUUAAAAGACAAAAAGACCCUACAGAGCUUUAUCUUUCACCUACUGUAAAAAUUUCUCUAAAUAAACCUAUAGUCAAAGGAUUUGGUUGGGGCGACACCGGAAAAUACAACCUCCGCAUUAAUAAAGAUUUACUAAUCAAUCUAAGACCUUAAUAAUAGAGCAUAGACAAGCUACCUUAGGGAUAACAGGCUAAUUUUUUCAAAGAGCCCAAAUCGAUGAAAAAGAUUGGCACCUCGAUGUUGGCUUAGGAUAACCCUUAGGUGUAGCAGCCUAAGAAGGUUGGUUUGUUCCACCACAAAGAUCCUACGUGAUCUGAUUCAGACCGGA
rnacentral:rRNA from 1 species